rnacentral:lncRNA from 1 species
UGUGUAUCUACUGCUCGGUUGAUUAAAUAAUUAGUGGCUCACUAAUUAAACAAACCUGGAUGCUAGAAUGAAUUUGUGGCUCCCUAAUUAAACAACCCAGGAUGAAUCUUUCUACAAUGGAGCUAAUUAAAUAAACCAGGAUAAUAAAAAUAAUUAGUGGUUCACUACUUAAACAAGCCAGGAGGCUAAAACUUGCUAUAAUGGAUUCUUGAAUUGCUAACUUAUAUAUGGCUCAUGUCAAUUGAGGAUUGCAUAUAUUCAAGCAGGUCGUCGGUGCUCUGUUGGUUGAUGGAUUUUUCUUAUCUGCCAGCAGACCGCACUGGAGGCUGCCGCCAUAUCUGAGGACAUCGUGAUGAGGUGAGCCUCCUUCUGCCAGUGCGGCUCCCCUUUGUGGUGCCGAUUCGUCUUACCCUCUCUCUCUCACUGAUGCUCCUUCCAUCUCCUGUCGUGCAGGUUGCCGCUUUGGCCAUAGCAGAGGGGAUCCGGCCGGCACACCGCGUCUCCCAUAAACAUGCCUAAUUUUAUAUUCAGAGGUAGCAUUGAUCUACUUGCCCCCUUCAAAAGGCCAUAUGUGUUGCUUUGUUUUACUUCUCUUUCAUAUCCAGUUAUUUAGAAAUUCUCUACUAACCUCCCGGCACUUAAAUAUGAUUAGGUAUAAUGUGAAGCAUUUGCUUGACAGAGGUACCUUCAUGUCAAUGUGAAGCAUUUAUGUUGCUAUAUAUUGCAGGAAUGUAUCCAUGUACUGGGAAACCUGUGAACUCUUUGAUACACCUUUUAUGUGUUGCUUUUGGUCUUGAUAGAGGUACUUGUGCCUCUUACAUGCUCUUGUGUGCAUUUUUCAAUUCUAAAAUAGUACAUUCAAUUGAAGGCUAGAGAAGAUUUAGUGGUUAUAUCAUGAGUCACUACAAGCGCCUAUUUAUUGAAACAUUUUCCCAGUUGUUUCACUACAAGUGCCUAUUUAUUGAAUCAUUUUCAUCAAACUUGCACCAGUAAAUAGUUGUAGCUCUUCGCGUUGUCUAAUGAAUAUGUGUCUAAUCAAUAUGUUCAUUUUGAAUGCUUUGGUGAAACCUAAGCAGUAAACUCAUGGCCACACUCUCUCAAAUGGUGAAACCACUUCUUAUGUAACCACCACUCUUGUUAUCGAGGUUCCAAAUGGUUUUGCCUAUAUUUUUUAUGUUGGUACUUCUUAUGUCAAGGUAAUAGAUUGUGACCUCCAUUUUGGUUCGGGUUAGGCUUUAAUAUUUUUGAGUCAAUUAUAGGUGUCGAUUACAUUGGUAAGAUAGAAGCUAAUUAUGAAGUCUUUCUGUUUAGAUAUGUAGAUGUGGUCUUUCUGUUUGUGUAUAAGAUAAUUGCUUUAUCUAUUUAGUGGAUCCUUUUUGUUUUUGAAAAUAGAUAGUGUCCAUGAUGGAGUUGAAGUUACUGUGAUAAUUGGUUCAUCAAUUUAGCUAAUCCUUACCAAUUUGUUUGUCCUGUAGAGUGAGUACAUGAAGGAAAAUACUUACCAAAACCUUUAUUUGCUGGCAUGUGAUAGUUUUUCUUGAAAGACCUGUGAUAUUUAUCGGUUGAUGCAUGUGGCUUAUGUUGUUUACUUGUCAGUAACCUCUAUGGAGUAUUUAGGCAAUAUGUUGCUUAUAAGAAUGUAAUCAAAUUAUUAAUUUGCUCCAUUCUAGGGAGGAUGAAAUCUGAUUAUUAACUUAUUUCAUUUCAGGGAGAUACAUUGACAGGAAGUGCUCACUCGCUAGAAUUGUUUCUAUCAGGGGCAGAAUUAUUGUUGAAACAUGCACUGUGUGAAGAUGAAUAGGAACCUUUCAUAAUUAUUCCCAAACAUGCCACUGUGUCAUCAUUGGCCAAUGCAGGUAUUGCUCUCUAGCUGAUAUAUUGUUUAGUUCUUCUUGGUUUCAAUUAUGUUGGCCCUCCUUAAGAUUGCUUGGGAAUGUGAGGCUUCAAAGUUUCAACCCUGUGCAAGGCUCCAAAGCUUUACCAGUUUUCCACUUGCUUUCAAAUGAAUUUGUCAUUGAAGAAACCAUGAAUUCUUUUGUUUUAUUUUUGACCUACACUUAACCUUUCAUGGGAAUAUAGUGUGUCAUUUCCCCAUUAGGGUUGGAGUACUUGAUGUAUGUGUUGUAUUAGUGACGUGGUCGUAACAAGCAACCAUAAAUAUUGUUUUUGAUUUCCUUGGAUGAAGACGCUUUUAUGCGACAACCAUAUGUUUACUAAUACAUAGUAGGGUUUUGGAAACUGGUGGUUACUUUUGUUUGUUGACAACCAAUUACUGUGAUUCCAGGACCUCUUAGAUUAUACAAGUCCCUAUGUUUGUUUGGAUUCAUUAACCAUGGGAUUGGACUUUCAUUCGAUGCCACUAGCUCCUGUGAUGCACUGUGUAAACUAUCGUGUGAUCUCCCUCUUCUUUUGUGAUUGCAUCCCCUUUGUCACAUCUAUCCAUCCUUUUGUACUUGAUAUGUACCGUGUAUGAACAAUUGUAUCCUUUAGUUUACCCUGUAUAUGAACAUUGCAUCCUCAAAUGUGUUGUGUUGUCGUUCUGUUGGCUAUGGAGAUGUGUUGUACUACAGUUUUGGUAUCCAUCUAUAAUGUCUUGCUCCUAUUACAUGUGAAUAUUUCUUCUUUC